ensembl:misc_RNA Metazoa_SRP Metazoan signal recognition particle RNA
GCCAGGUGUGGUGAGUGCACCUGUAAUCUCAGCUACUUGGGAGGCUGAGGCAGGAGGAUCCCUUGAGCCCAGGAGUUCAAGGCUGCAAUGAGUUGUGAUCACACCACUGCACUCCAGCCUGGGCAACAGAGCAAGACUCUGUCUCUA